UCUUUACAGUCUGCUUCAGGCGGCCGUCAGGCCUUAAAAGGGAACUCCGGUGCAAGUCCGGGGCGGUCCCGCCGCUGUGAGCCCUGUAAAUCUUUUUGUCGUAUCUGGGUCACUAACCCCGCACUUACUUUUUUCAAAAAAGUAAGAGAAACUUAUUUUUUGACCUCCGUGAGGCAGGUUAUAAAAUUUUAUAAGUUUCGCUGUAGUGCUACUUUUUUGAAAAAAGUAAGUGCGGGGUUGGGAAGGCCGACAAAGGAAGGGGCGAGCCAGAAGACCUGCCUGAAGUCUUAUCCAUCA
rnacentral:ncRNA from 2 species